rnacentral:rRNA from 1 species
GGGGAAUUUUCCGCAAUGGGCGAAAGCCUGACGCAGCAACGCCGCGUGGAGGAUGAAAUCCCUUGGGAUGUAAACUCCUUUCGAUCGGGACGAUUAUGACGGUACCGGAGGAAUAAGCCACGGCUAAUUCCGUGCCAGCAGCCGCGGUAAUACGGGAGUGGCAAGCGUUAUCCGGAAUUAUUGGGCGUAAAGCGUCCGCAGGCGGCCUUGAAAGUCUGUUGUUAAAGCGUGGAGCUUAACUCCAUUUCAGCAAUGGAAACUACAAGGCUAGAGUGUGGUAGGAGCAGAGGGGAUUCCCGGUGUAGCGGUGAAAUGCGUAGAUAUCGGGAAGAACACCAGUGGCGAAGGCGCUCUGCUGGGCCAUAACUGACGCUCAUGGACGAAAGCCAGGGGAGCGAAAGGGAUUAGAUACCCCUGUAGUC